rnacentral:rRNA from 1 species
UGGGGAAUAUUGCACAAUGGGCGCAAGCCUGAUGCAGCCAUGCCGCGUGUGUGAAGAAGGCCUUCGGGUUGUAAAGCACUUUCAGCGGGGAGGAAGGCGUUAAGGUUAAUAACCUUGGCGAUUGACGUUACCCGCAGAAGAAGCACCGGCUAACUCCGUGCCAGCAGCCGCGGUAAUACGGAGGGUGCAAGCGUUAAACGGAAUUACUGGGCGUAAAGCGCACGCAGGCGGUCUGUCAAGUCGGAUGUGAAAUCCCCGGGCUCAACCUGGGGACUGCAUUCGAAACUGGCAGGCUAGAGUCUUGUAGAGGGGGGUAGAAUUCCAGGUGUAGCGGUGAAAUGCGUAGAGAUCUGGAGGAAUACCGGUGGCGAAGGCGGCCCCCUGGACAAAGACUGGCGCUCAGGUGCGAAAGCGUGGGGAGCAAACAGG